rnacentral:rRNA from 1 species
AAUCAACGCUGGCGGCGUGCCUCAGACAUGCAAGUCGAACGAUUAAAGCUCUCUUCGGAGAGUGUAUAGAGUGGCGCACGGGUGAGUAACACGUAAGUAAUCUACCCUCGGGUGGGGAAUAACAUCGGGAAACCGAUGCUAAUACCGCAUAAUGCAGCGGCUCCUAAUGGAGACAGUUGUUAAAGGAUUUAUUCGCCUGGGGGAGGAGCUUGCGGCAGAUUAGCAGUUGGUAAGGUAAUGGCUUACCAAGGCUACGAUCUGUAGCCGGUCUAAGAGGACGGUCGGUCACACUGACACUGAAUAACGGGUCAGACUCCGUACGGGAGGCAGCAGGUCGGGUAAUUUGGGCAAUGGGCGAAAGCCUGACCCAGCAACGCCGCGUGAAGGAU